rnacentral:rRNA from 1 species
CAGUAGCCACGGUAAUACGUAGGGUGCAAGCGUUAAUCGGAAUUACUGGGCGUAAAGCGUGCGCAGGCGGUUAUAUAAGACAGUCGUGAAAUCCCCGGGCUCAACCUGGGAACUGCGAUUGUGACUGUAUGGCUAGAGUGUGUCAGAGGGGGGUAGAAUUCCACGUGUAGCAGUGAAAUGCGUAGAUAUGUGGAGGAAUACCGAUGGCGAAGGCAGCCCCCUGGGAUAACACUGACGCUCAUGCACGAAAGCGUGGGGAGCAAACAGGAUUAGAUACCCCAGUAGUCCCUGUCUCUUAUAC